CCAUUUCUCAUUCAUAUGGCCGGCCAAAGAAGAACAAAGGAGGAAAGGAAAAAAACAAGAACCCUAGGUAGGAAAAUUGAAGCAAAAGUGUGGGAUUUCAAGGGAUUAAGCUAAUAAAGGUAAAAUUUCUUGAUUUUGACUUGUGAUUUACACUACCCAUGCUUUCUUUUUCAUUUUCCAUGGUUAGAUUUCAUGUUUUCAUGGUGAAUUCAUGGCUGGUCAAAAUGGGUAUGGAGAGAGAAAGAUGUUAGAUUGAUUUGAUUUUAAGUUAUGUUAGUGUUUUUAGUUAGUUUAGCAUAUUUAGAAACAAAACAACAAGAAAAGAAUUCAUUUUUCCCAUCAACCAUCAAUGGCCGAAUUUUCUAGGGAGGAUAUUGUGGCUGAAAUUGAUGAUAUUUCAUGAUAUUUUGGUGUUAUUUGAUGUUUGGUGAGGCUAAAAAUUAAAUGGAAAAUUUUGGUGUGAAAAUCUGAAUUUUUACCUGAUGUAUAGACAUGUGUGAUUAUUGAUCCAGGACUAAUAAAUUGAAUCUCAUUCACAGUUACUGAGGUAAUUUAGGUAUAAUUGGAGUGUAGAAAGUGAAAGAAAUUGAUUUGGAGUUAAAUUGGAGGUUUUAGCCAAUUACACCGAGAAUAGUGCGAAUUAGGUCGAUUACCAUAUUUAAACAGCUAUUCGGACAUUUUGCAUUCCAUCGCAUGCAUUCAUUUAGAUUUAGAAAGGCUGAAAUAGUUUAUGAUAAAUUGACAUAAUUUAUUGAAAUUCGUGUCACGUAUAAUGUAUAGGUGGUGAGCCCUCUAAUAAAGGUAAAGAGAUUGUGCCCGAAGACCGAAAAUAAGAGUAUAUCGAACUCCUAGUACUGUGAGUAACCUUAUCAUUAUUUUAAUUAUCUAAAGUAUGUUUUAACUCGGUUUUGGUGAAAUUUUAUGAAAAUGAGUUAAAUGGCAAAUUUUAGGUUUUAUAAACAGAAAUGUGUUUAAAUGAAAAGAUUUUAUAAAUUGUCUUGAAACGAAAUAACGAUUUUGAAAAUAGAGUAAUUGGAGACCACCAGUAUGUUGUAAAUUUAUGAUUGGAAAUUGAUGGCUUAUGUUAUAUUGUUAUUGUGUUGGCAUGACUGGAUGGGCUGUAUUUUAUGAAUUGUAUAAAUUGUUUUAUUUUACCCUUGCAAGCUGGGUAGUAAUAUAUUAGCCUUAUCAUGUUGUCAAAAUUUUAUUAUAUGGUGAGUUUAGCUUACUGCAGUAGGAGGGUUUCCGUGGACUAGCCUAUUAGAGGGGCACGGUAAACCCUGUUAUAUUUUACCUCGGUUGGAGAGGCGAGUAGGAUAACUCCCGAGGUAUGAUUUUAGAGUUCACUUCACGCCAAACCAGCACGUGAAGGUAAGCUCGGCCAACGCCAAGGAACGGCUAUAUUUUCAAAAUGAAACAUAUUUUAUGCGUACAUGACUUUCUAAUAACCUUGGCAGACUCAAUUGGGAUAGCCCUCGACCAAGGUAUCCUAGAUAACUGAGUAUGAUAAUAAUUUUUGGCAUAAGCCAAGCUUUUUAAGAAAUUCAUAAGCCAUACUAAUUACUUGAUUUAAAUAAAUUGAUUUCAUUUGGUUGAAAUAAGCUGAAAGGUGAUAAAUUACAGUUUGAUGAAAUGUUUUAAUAGUCUCCUUUUACUCGCCUUUAGAUAUUUUAAAUGAUAUUUGUUUACUCACUAGGAUUUUAUAAUCUCACCACCCUCCUUUCCACCCAUUUCAAGUUCAGAAUAGACUGUAGAUAGCUUAUCGCAUCGAGGACUACCAUUGGAAUUGCAUUUUUCAAACUGUAGGUUCACAGUCCUCUUUGCUUUUGAAUAUUCGGGAAUCCCACUUAUUACUGUAAAUUAAAUUUCAUACUCUAGUUAUUUGUACUACUAUAUAUAGGAAUUUAUUUUGCUUUUACGUUAUGAAAAAAAAUUAUUUACGCAGUGUUCUAAAAUUAUUGUUUUAUAAGAAAAUUGAAUAUUUUACUUAAUAUUUCUUUUAUUUUUCUAUUAUAUCCAAAUAAUCAUAAUUUCAUUUUAAAUGAAGAUUUUAGACUUUUAAACUCAUUUUGAUUAUGAAUUAUGUGUUUUGUACUUGUAUAUUACAUUUUAGUCAGUUUCAAAAUUUUUGAGAAAAAUGACCAAAAUACCCCUAUGAGACGAAAAUUAUUAUUUUAUUUGUUUUAAGUUGAAAACAGUUUAAAAUCUUCUAGAACGUGGUAAUUGACAACAGUUACUCAUAGGGUAAAUGAUAAGUUGAUAUUAAAGUCUUGCAGGGUUCCGGUUGACAUUUCAGGUAAUGAGUGUCGAUCGGGGUAUCGCGGCGGUUGUCACUGGCUUGAGGGGAGUUUCGGGUCGUGACAAAGAAUGUGUCAAAAAGUUUAUUAUGGGAAUGGAUAAUGUCUCCCAAUCAGAUAAGAUAAAUCUGAUUAUUCCAUUAAAGAUUAUAUUCUUUAACGAGAUUGAGAUGAUCAAAUUAAGACUCAACCACUUUUUUAGAAGAAGAGCCAAUAAGAAGUCAAAAUGGUACUCUAAUUAAUGACAUAAGCUUGAACCUUCCACAGUUUUCUAUCUACUACAUCGUCGAGGACAAUUCUUUAGUUUUCACUCUUAAAAAUAAAGUUAGAGAUUAAAAACUCUCUUCUUCGCUACUAAAAGGUAAUGGAAAUAUUCACUAUUUCAUCUCCAAACGAUU
rnacentral:lncRNA from 1 species